ensembl:lncRNA
GCUAGCUGCCAGCCAAACUGAAGCAUGCUGACGCCUUUAGCCCCCUCAAUCUCCUGUUGUAUUGGAGGCUGGAGGCCAGCCAGUGGUAGGUCAAUAAGAGGCCUGUAGAUCUGAGGAGGGACAAGCGGUUUGUUUGGUGAGGGAUCUGACAGGCUUUAGAACUUCCGUCAGACCAGUGUUACUGCUGGCUGGAGCAAUAACUAACACAGACUAUGUCAACAUUCAAUGGUACACUAUUACAUAUAUAGCCUGUACUGGCUAAACUGUCCAAUAUAAUUGCCCCAAUACAAUUUCCAUCCUAAUCCUUUAGCCACAGUAAGGCAGUGGUGACGUGUUAGUCUUGACGCAUACAAAUCCAUUGUGCAGGGGUUGAUACACACCAGCCCCAAUUAUAUUUGGUGUAAAAUCAGAACAAUUCCUUACUUAACUUGAAAGUGCCUUACUCUUAGACUGCACCUUCUUGCAGUAGGCAGAUCUUGGAUAUCGGCCUUUCCAUAAUGUUGGUACUUGUCUUCAGGUGUACUGCACAUACUAACCCCCUGGAGUCAGUUUCAAUAACUUUUCCAAGUAUCCAUGCACUUCGUGGUGCCAUGGGGUCCACCAGCAGGACCACAUCUCUCCUUCACGGAGGCAGCGUUUCACUUUGCCCCACUUUUGCAUUUCUUGUAAGACUAGCAGGUACUUCUCUGUCCAUCUCUUCCUAAAAGAAUCUGCCAUGUACUGGACUUGUUUCCAACGCCGUCUGAUGUACAGAUCUGUUUUUUCGACAUUAACAGUGAAAUGUGAUUUGGGGUAAGGGCUUCUAGAUCCAGGGGGUCAUUGGUUACCAUGGUGAUUGGGUAGCUGUUUAGAAUGGCCUCUACUUCACACAGAAUGGAGCACCUGGCCAAUCAUCCCAAUGAGCCUUUCCCAGACUCCUCCGUGGUGGGACGCCCCAGGGGGAUUGAAAUUUAUUGUAUUUCUUCCUGAGGUAGAGCAUCUUGGAUCUUGCCUUGGUUUAAAGCAGAUAGAGCUUCUCUAAGGUCUCUCUCAGUACCAAUAAAGUUAGUUCCAUUAUCAGAUCUGACAUGUUUUUUAAAUGUGUUUUUUACAUUUCCUCUUCCCUUUUUGAUUUCUAUAGGACCAAAGUAAUCCACACCUACGUUGGUAAAUGGUGGGAUGUCUGUCAUGAUCCUUUCAAGCGGCAGAUCUUCCAUCUUCUGCUCAGCAAUCUUGCCUCGUUGCCUUCUGCACACAACACACUCUGAGAUGAUCAUAGGGCUCUGGUGAAAAGUAGUGCACUGUGUAGGGAAUAAGGUGCCAUUUGGGAUGCAACUUAAAACGAAUAUCAGGGUGAUAACAGAGAGGUGUGGUGGAUGCUCGAUCCUCAGUCUAACGUCUCUGGAGUAUGGAAGGAAAGGUGGUGGAGGCUCGAUCCUCAGUCUAACGUCUCUGGGAAGGAAAGGUGGUGGAGGCUCGAUCCUCAGUCUAACAUCUCUGGAGUAUAGAAGGAAAGGUGGUGGACGCUCGAUCCUCAGUCUAACAUCUCUGGAGUAUGGAAGGAAAGGUGGUGGAGGCUCGAUCCUCAGUCUAACAUCUCUGGAGUAUGGAAGGAAAGGUGGUGGAGGCUCGAUCCUCAGUCUAACGUCUCUGGGAAGGAAAGGUUGUCUGAAAUGUUCUUAGUGAAGGCAAAAGUUGUCCACGAAAUUCCUUUGUAGAAAAAGAAAAUGUACCUGCAAAACUUUUUUAUAUAUUUUUUUAGGUCUCAACAAAAUGUCAUGAAAUGUCGAUGAUAAAUUAAAAACCGUGACAACUUCUGUGACAUUUUGAAAAAUACAAUUAUAGGGACCUGCAAGGGAGUGACAUUUGUCUGAAACCCACUGUGGAUCACCUAUCAUAGAAACCAAUACAGCCGGCCAGGAAGGGAGAUACAAAACAUAUCCAAGAUGGUGAAACCAAUUUACCUGCUAGCCAGCAGUCAGUCAGUCAGUCCAAAAAUAUAAUAAUAAUCAUUUGUAAUAAUUUGGUGGGUGCAUAUUUUUGUCCUAUUUCACACAUAUAAUUAAUAAGCAUGUAUGAAUUGGAACGUGAGAGUGGGGUCACGUCCAGGGUCUGCCAUUAUCAGACCCUGGAAUAAUUAGGAUUAAGUGCUUUCCUCAAGGGCAUAACAGAUUUUUUUCACCUAGUCGACUCAGAGAUUCAAACUAGCGACCUUUCGGUUACUGGCCCUAGUGUCUUUGUGAGACUGGUUACUUUUUAAUAGAGAACUUCUGAAAGGAAGCGUUUCAUCCUGUUUUAUCCAGUGAUGCACUGUACUGUUGUGUUAGCACACUCAAAUACCAUUUAAAAAUGUCUAGCUUUACUCACAUAUGGAAACAUUGUUAGUUAGCAUCAGUGUUUCUGUAAUCAGUGUUCAUCAUGUCAGUUUCCUCACCUUUUCCUCAGCACUAUAUCCCUGGUUUUACCCUCCCUCGCCCCACACGUCCUCUGUAACAGUCUAGAACACCUUUAUUACCCAUCA